AGUGAGCGCUGGCGGUAGGCCUAACACAUGCAAGUCGAACGGCAGCACAGUAAGAGCUUGCUCUUACGGGUGGCGAGUGGCGGACGGGUGAGGAAUACAUCGGAAUCUACUUUUUCGUGGGGGAUAACGUAGGGAAACUUACGCUAAUACCGCAUACGACCUACGGGUGAAAGCAGGGGAUCUUCGGACCUUGCGCGAUUGAAUGAGCCGAUGUCGGAUUAGCUAGUUGGCGGGGUAAAGGCCCACCAAGGCGACGAUCCGUAGCUGGUCUAAGAGGAUGAUCAGCCACACUGGAACUGAGACACGGUCCAGACUCCUACGGGAGGCAGCAGUGGGGAAUAUUGGACAAUGGGCGCAAGCCUGAUCCAGCCAUACCGCGUGGGUGAAGAAGGCCUUCGGGUUGUAAAGCCCUUUUGUUGGGAAAGAAAAGCAGCAGGUUAAUACCCCGCUGUUCUGACGGUACCCAAAGAAUAAGCACCGGCUAACUUCGUG
rnacentral:rRNA from 1 species